AUUGGGCUGAACAGACCAUUGAUUUGAUUUCCUGCUAUAUUUCCUGUCUUUAAGGUUUAGAAAGCCAGUGUAACGUGUUUUACAACGGACCAAGGCCUGAAGAACCUGGAGUGCAAUUAAGGGCCCUCAGAUCCAGCCUCAACUGGCAGUCUGCUCGGUGAGAUUAAAACUUGUCCAAAAACGGGGCUAUGGCUGUCUGUGUGAAUGCUGUGACUGUGAUUUGUUUUUCAGCAGCGUGCCUAGGCAAACCAGCUGUCUAAUCUUGGCUCUGUCAUGUGGCAUACAACACUGUAGCGUGUUGAUUUCACACCUUUCACGUGUUACUAACAGGAUACAACGUGUU
ensembl:lncRNA